UACGUAGGCAGCGAGCGUUGUUCGGAGUUACUGGGCGUAAAGGGUGUGUAGGCGGUUGUUUAAGUUUGGUGUGAAAUCUCCCGGCUCAACUGGGAGGGUGCGCCGAAUACUGAAUGACUAGAGUGCGGGAGAGGAAAGUGGAAUUCCUGGUGUAGCGGUGAAAUGCGUAGAUAUCAGGAGGAACACCUAUGGCGAAGGCAGCUCUCUGGGACGGUACUGACGCUGAGACGCGAAAGCGUGGGGAGCGAACAGG
rnacentral:rRNA from 1 species